rnacentral:rRNA from 1 species
AGUGAACGCUGGCGGCAGGCCUAAUACAUGCAAGUCGAACGGCAGCACGGCAGAGCUUGCUCUGUGGGUGGCGAGUGGCGGACGGGUGAGGAAUACAUGGGAAUCUGCCCAGUCGUGGGGAUAACGUAGGGAAACUUACGCUAAUACCGCAUGCGCCCUUCGGGGAAAGCCGGGGACCUUCGGGCCUGGCGCGAUUGGAUGAGCCCAUGUCGGAUUAGCUAGUUGGCGGGGUAAUGGCCCACCAAGGCGACGAUCCGUAGCUGGUCUGAGAGGAUGAUCAGCCACACUGGAACUGAGACACGGUCCAGACUCCUACGGGAGGCAGCAGUAGGGAAUAUUGGACAAUGGGCGCAAGCCUGAUCCAGCCAUGCCGCGUGAGUGAAGAAGGCC